rnacentral:rRNA from 1 species
UACGUAGGUGGCAAGCGAUACUCGGAAUCACUAGGCGUAAAGCGCAGGUAGGCGGUUUGAUAAGUCUGUUGUGAAAGCUCCCGGCUUAACUGGGAGAGGUCAACGGAAACUGUCAGGCUAGAGUGUGGUAGAGGUAGCUGGAAUUCCCGGUGUAGCGGUGAAAUGCGUAGAUAUCGGGAGGAAUACCGAUGGCGAAAGCAGGCUACUGGACCAUCACUGACGCUGAUCUGCGAAAGCUAGGGGAGCAAACAGG